UGUUUUGUUUUUGACAGCCUCUGUUGCCCACACUGGAAUGCAAUGCUGUGAUGCAAGCUCACCGCAGUCUCGAACUCUUGGACUCAAGCCAUCAGCUCGCCUCUGCCUCUUGUGUAGCUAGGACCACAAGCAUGAAUGAGUACAACUUGCCCCUACAUUUAUUACUUGAAUGAUUUUCUCAAGCUAGCCAUGCCAACAGGCUUUGUUAGUACCAUUUUAUAGAAAAACGUGGGAUUCAGUGUUUUGCUCAGAGUAAUUGAUGAAAUUGGUGGAAAAGCUACCUGGGCUCAAUCUAGCUUAAAGUUCUAUGCCCUUUGCAUUAUGUUCCUAUUCUUUCUACAAAUAACGUUAUGAUUCUAAAAAGUUCAGGGAGAUGGGCAAAUAGGUUUGCCUUAAUCUUAAGAACCUGCUACGUGCUGGUGGUCCAUCAGUGAACAAAAUGGACAAAGGUUGUGCUCUUUUAAUCAAGUUAUAGAUGAAACAAACUUAAAAGCCAGUGCUGGAGAUAAGAGAUGAUUAAGCAAACACAAAAAUAAACAUAUCAUUAACCUUGGGUGGAUCACAAUGGAGGAAAUGACCAAUGCAAGAAUAGAAAACAACACAGGGGCCUGCUUAGACAAUGAGCAUCCUGUCAGUCAUAGUCCCUGUACAACUCUGAACAAGCAAAAUGUGAGAAUUAAACAUUGUAUCCACUUCCUGCUCUCAAGUUAGUUACAUUUUGAAAAAAUUAUCAAGAUUCUUUCAUAUUCAGUUUCUUUAUCAGAAAGAUAGAAUUCAUCUUUUGAAGAUAUUUUGAGGUUAGAUAAUUUUGGUUGUGAAAAUGCUACACACUCAGACACACAUUAGGGCUUUAUUAUAAAUGGUUAAAACACGACCUACAGAAACUAGGCAAAGUACUCAAAAUAUAAAGAUAAAUAAGUUGAAAUUCUUACUCUUGGUUAAAGGGUAAAACAUAUCCAUAAUUAGAAAAUUACAUUCUGCCAAGUAAAAUAUAGAUAAACAUAGAGGAGAAACAUCUAACACAUUAAACCUUACUGGAGGAUAUGACAUUCCUCCCUGGAGGAUAUGACAUUCCUCCAACGUGGCAAAAAGAUUCCUGGUAGAACAGCAGAGACAGAAAGAUGGAGAUGGGACACAGCAUUGGUUUCUGGAAGUUAAGUGUGGACCAGUGCUGGAAGUACUUGGAAGAAGUAAAAGGGAUGGAUAAUGGACAACUUUUCACGCUUCCCUGUUAUCUCAUUUAAUUUUCUCCACUUAUAAGAAGACCAGCUUCACAUGUUAUCAUGGCUAUUUCACAGAUUAGAAAACUUUUGAGCAACAGUAACAACAAUAAAAAAGAACACUAGAUUCUAAGAAGAUAGAUCUGAAUACUUCAGAUUAAAGAGUAAAUAACUGGAGGUGAGGUUGAGAAUGGGAAGAAAGCAGAAAUACAAAAUAAUAGAGUGAUGAUCACAUCCCAUGGAAAAGGAGAGAGACUGGGCUGAUGGCCGGAGAGGUAUAUGGUCAAGGGAGAUAUUUUGCUUUAUUUCAUUUACAUAUGUCUUUAUACUGAAGCUUAAAGCAAGGAGGAAAUAGAAGGUACUGAAGAAAAAUAAUGAUUAGGAGAAGAGACUAGAAAAUAAGAGAGGUAAGGAGCAGAGGUGAAGUUAUUACCCUUAAUGCUAAUAAGUUCGUCAGUGUGUAUUAAGUAUUUACUAUGUAUGAGAAUCUGUUGUAAGUGCAUUAACAUGUUUAUGAGGUAUAUACCAUUUUUACACAACUUUAAAAAAGAGAAAACUAAUGUACAGUAAAGGUAAAAUAAUUGUCUCAAUAUUACUGAGCUGGUUAAUGCUGUAAAUGGGACUCAAUCACACACCACUAAGCUCUAUGAAAGUAAAGGAAGAAAAAUAUUACUCAGUUUGUAAUUUGUGACAUUGCCAUGACCACACACUAUAUAUAAUAUUCGUUCAUCAAAUCUAGAUACUAUAGUGACAUAGUUUAGAUCUAAUUAACAAGAGUGUGUUGAAAGCAAAAUCUUAUUUCCUAAAGUACAAUCCCUGUUAAUUUUUGUUUUCCUAGCAGAAUGAGACAAAGGAAAAGCUAAGAUGAUUUUUUAAGCACUUCAGUUCUUUCCUCCCAAUAUAUGACUAUUUCUAUCAAAUACAAAGAUGUUACGCAAUUUGAAAAAUAUUUUUCAGUUUUGGCAUAUAUCUGCAAAAAGGAUGUUAUCUUCAAGAAUCAUACGUCUUUUGAAAAAUGUUUCCAAGUGAUUGUUCCUGAUGCUGCUCUGAUCAAAAAUCAGGUUUGGAUGAAUGAAAAGGUUGGUUUCUUUAAACUCAAUAAAUGUAUCCAAAUGUUCUGCUCUCUGUCUCUUACUCAUGAGGAAUCUCGCUAAUUUGAGUCCAUCUGAAUAUUUAGAAACUGGAAGUUAUCUGUUAGUGUACUGAAUUAUUUUCAGAAGACUGCUGAAUUAAAUUAUUUAGUAAACCUGAUAUUAUAUCAAUUAACUAUUCAACUAGAAUAUUAAUCCAAUCCUUGCUAUUUUAUUAGUGAGUGCUUAUAAUUUAUUGAUCACUAAUAAUAUUAUCAUGAAAUUGUUUUUAAGCACAAUUAGGAUAAGUUGAAACAUAUAGGACCUCUUUUCUGGCCAUAAUAGAAUAACACAGUCCAAAUUUUUUCAUUUCACAUGUUCUGCUAGAAAGUAUAUAAAACAAUCAUUUUCAGACAUUUUGCAAUAGGCAGCAAGGUUCUGUGGUUGCUCAGAGAAGGAAAACAACAAGGUAGUCCUUUAGAUCACCUGGCAUUCUGACUGGAGGCACACCUUGGACCACAGAGCAAUAGGAAAUAAGGCAAGCAUAGCAUUCGGGCCUCACUGAAUUUAAAGUUACAGAAUUUAAAGUUUAAGGAGACCAAAGUUGCUGAGUGCUGCAGUUUUAGAAACAAAAGAGUUAAACAGAAAAAGAGCUCCAGAAAUCUAUAGAGAAAUACUUGCUUGUUGGACACCAAGGGCAAGAUUCCAUGAAGUAGGGCAAACAGCAUGGAGGAACCGUGAGCAAAGUGGUUUCCAUAGUCAAUUCAGUGCUAGAAAAUGUUUGGGUGUCGACCAGCCUGAGUAACAAGUAUUCACUGAUUACUCAGGACAUUCAUGAGAGACUCCAGAAGAACCAGGCCUUUUCAGUGAAAGUAAACAACUUACGGAAUAAAGACGAGUGUAGAUCUGCUCUGACAAUGAUUAAAGGAAAGAAGACAUAUUGAUCUACUUUUAGCUCAGAAUUCAUGCAAGAAAUAAGUUUUUGUACUAAAAUGGUUUUAAAGUGCCCCUCUCUCUGCUAGAGUGAACAGAGAAUGCUGAAAGCCACAAGAAAAGGCAUUCACCAAAGAGAACAGAGCCAGGAGAGAGCCUCUGGGAAAGAGAAGGCUUUAGAGACAUCGUUUUAACUUGGCAGUAAAGCAAACAAGCAACAUAGCCACAGGACUGUUGGAGUGCGACAAUGUUUUCUCUAGAAAUAAACACUCAAGUCUUAAGGAUUUGUUUUGAGCAAAUGCAUAAGAAAUAAAACUUUUAUUUGAAAAGUAA